rnacentral:rRNA from 1 species
CUUAAACAUGCAAGUCGAACGGUGAAGCAGAGCUUGCUCUGUGGAUCAGUGGCGAACGGGUGAGUAACACGUGAGCAAUCUGCCCCGGACUCUGGGAUAACAGUUGGAAACAGCUGCUAAUACUGGAUACGAGAAGCGACCGCAUGGUCAGCUUCUGGAAAGAAUUUCGGUCUGGGAUGAGCUCGCGGCCUAUCAGCUUGUUGGUGAGGUAAUGGCUCACCAAGGCGUCGACGGGUAGCCGGCCUGAGAGGGUGACCGGCCACACUGGGACUGAGACACGGCCCAGACUCCUACGGGAGGCAGCAGUGGGGAAUAUUGCACAAUGGGCGAAAGCCUGAUGCAGCAACGCCGCGUGAGGGAUGACGGCCUUCGGGUUGUAAACCUCUUUUAGCAGGGAAGAAGCGAAAGUGACGGUACCUGCAGAAAAAGCGCCGGCUAACUACGUGCCAGCAGCCGCGGUAAUACGUAGGGCGCAAGCGUUAUCCGGAAUUAUUGGGCGUAAAGAGCUCGUAGGCGGUUUGUCGCGUCUGCUGUGAAAUCCCGAGGCUCAACCUCGGGCCUGCAGUGGGUACGGGCAGACUAGAGUGCGGUAGGGGAGAUUGGAAUUCCUGGUGUAGCGGUGGAAUGCGCAGAUAUCAGGAGGAACACCGAUGGCGAAAGGCAGAUCUCUGGGCCGUAACUGACGCUGAGGAGCGAAAGGGUGGGGAGCAAACAGGCUUAGAUACCCUGGUAGUCCACCCCGUAAACGUUGGGAACUAGUUGUGGGGUCCAUUCCACGGAUUCCGUGACGCAGCUAACGCAUUAAGUUCCCCGCCUGGGGAGUACGGCCGCAAGGCUAAAACUCAAAGGAAUUGACGGGGACCCGCACAAGCGGCGGAGCAUGCGGAUUAAUUCGAUGCAACGCGAAGAACCUUACCAAGGCUUGACAUACACGAGAACACCGUAGAAAUACGGGACUCUUUGGACACUCGUGAACAGGUGGUGCAUGGUUGUCGUCAGCUCGUGUCGUGAGAUGUUGGGUUAAGUCCCGCAACGAGCGCAACCCUCGUUCUAUGUUGCCAGCACGUAAUGGUGGGAACUCAUGGGAUACUGCCGGGGUCAACUCGGAGGAAGGUGGGGAUGACGUCAAAUCAUCAUGCCCCUUAUGUCUUGGGCUUCACGCAUGCUACAAUGGCCGGUACAAAGGGCUGCAAUACCGCGAGGUGGAGCGAAUCCCAAAAAGCCGGUCCCAGUUCGGAUUGAGGUCUGCAACUCGACCUCAUGAAGUCGGAGUCGCUAGUAAUCGCAGAUCAGCAACGCUGCGGUGAAUACGUUCCCGGGUCUUGUACACACCGCCCGUCAAGUCAUGAAAGUCGGUAACACCUGAAGCCGGUGGCCUAACCCUUGUGGAGGGAGCCGUCGAAGGUGGGAUCGGUAAUUAGGACUAAGUCGUAACAAG